GGGGGUGCACCGGAUUCGACUGGGGUAUUGUGUGACCUUGGUUGCAGGUGGAGCGCCGAUCUCCUUAAAGCGGCAAAAACUUUAAAUGCCGAAGAUAAUUCUUUAGCAUUAGCUGCAUAAGUCAGCUAUCGGGCCUUUAGGGCGCUGUUCCGAGCUCUAAAGUGACCUGUAACAAAUCGGGACUUACCGGCCGUCAUGCUUCCCGGACGGCUGGGAAAUCUUAGGGGAGCUAGGUUAGCCAUGGGCCUGUUUUGGUGCCAAUUGGAUAACCGAAAUUAAAAACCAAAACUAAACCUGUAGACGCCCUGGAGGCACGCCACAGGACGCGGGUUCGACUCCCGCCACCUCCAUAG
rnacentral:tmRNA from 1 species